AACGAACGCUGGCGGCAGGCUUAACACAUGCAAGUCGAGCGCCCCGCAAGGGGAGCGGCAGACGGGUGAGUAACGCGUGGGAAUCUACCCAUCUCUACGGAAUAACGCAUGGAAACGUGUGCUAAUACCGUAUACGUCCUUCGAGCGAAAGAUUUAUCGGAGAUGGAUGAGCCCGCGUUGGAUUAGCUAGUUGGUGGGGUAAAGGCCUACCAAGGCGACGAUCCAUAGCUGGUCUGAGAGGAUGAUCAGCCACACUGGGACUGAGACACGGCCCAGACUCCUACGGGAGGCAGCAGUGGGGAAUAUUGGACAAUGGGCGCAAGCCUGAUCCAGCCAUGCCGCGUGAGUGAUGAAGGCCCUAGGGUUGUAAAGCUCUUUCACCGGUGAAGAUAAUGACGGUAACCGGAGAAGAAGCCCCGGCUAACUUCGUGCCAGCCGCCGCUGUAAAAC
rnacentral:rRNA from 1 species